rnacentral:rRNA from 1 species
GGAUUCCCCUAGUAACGGCGAGUGAAGCGGGAAGAGCUCAAAUUUGAAAUCUGGCGGUCUACGGCCGUCCGAGUUGUAAUCUAGAGAGGUGUUUUCCGUGCCGGACCGUGUACAAGUCCCUUGGAACAGGGCGUCAUAGAGGGUGAGAAUCCCGUCCAUGACACGGACUACCGGUGCUCUGUGAUACACCUUCAAAGAGUCGAGUUGUUUGGGAAUGCAGCUCAAAAUGGGUGGUAAAUUCCAUCUAAAGCUAAAUACAGGCGAGAGACCGAUAGCGAACAAGUACCGUGAGGGAAAGAUGAAAAGAACUUUGGAAAGAGAGUUAAACAGUACGUGAAAUUGUUGAAAGGGAAACGCUUGAAGUCAGUCGCGUCUGCCAGGACUCAGCCUUGCUUCUGCAUGGUGCAUUUCCUGGUGGAUGGGCCAGCAUCGAUUUUGGUCGCCGGACAAGGGCGGGAGGAAUGUGGCAGCUUGCUGUGUUAUAGCCUCCCGUCGUACACGGUGGUUGGGAUCGAGGACUGCAGCACGCCUUUGGUCGGGGUUCGCCCACGCCACGUGCUUAGGAUGCUGGCGUAAUGGCUUUAAACGACCCGUCUUGAAACACGGACCAAGGAGUCUAACAUGCCUGCGAGUGUUUGGGCGUUAAACCCAGGCGCGUAAUGAAAGUGAAAAGUUGGGACUCUUUAGUGAGGCACCGACGCCCGAUCCUGACGUUCUCUGACGGAUUUGAGGUAGAGCAUGUAUGUUGGGACCCGAAAGAUGGUGAACUAUGCCUGAAUAGGGUGAAGCCAGAGGAAACUCUGGUGGAGGCUCGUAGCGAUUCUGACGUGCAAAUCGAUCGUCAAAUUUGGGUAUAGGGGCGAAAGACUAA